CCUCCUUUUUAGAGAAAAAAACGGAUGGUUCGUGAUUCAUUUUUAAGAACGACGUAGUUGUUUCUUUUUCCUUCAACCUUAUUGAAUAGCAGGAAGUCCUCCCUACGGGACUCAAGUAGGAGGGAAUUACAGUCCCGUAGCUCAGUUGGUUAGAGCACUACACUGAUAAUGUAGGGGUCAGCAGUUCAAAUCUGCUCGGGACUACUAAACUUUUUACUAUUAGUAGUAAGUUUCGUAAUACUGGGGGAUUAGCUCAGCUGGCUAGAGCACCUGCCUUGCACGCAGGGGGUCAUCGGUUCGACUCCGAUAUCCUCCACAAUAAGAAGUACAUUGACAUAUUGGAAUUGAUUGAAGUAGUAAACAAAUAGAAAAAAAACUAAAGAGUUUGAUAAGUUACUAAGGGCACACAGGGAAAUGCCUUGGGCUCUGAGAGGCGAAAAAGGACGUGAUAAGCUGCGAAUAAGCAACGGGGAGAUGCAAAUGAUUGGUGAUCCGUUUGAUUUCCCGAAUUGGGG
rnacentral:tRNA from 1 species